GGAGACCACCACCUCAUCUACCACCAAACUGCCAUAGCCAUCAUUUUAAAAGAAAAUCUACUUACCCCCUGGCAUCCAAUAGAAUGCAAAAGGAAAUAUAGGGGAUUUUGAUUUUUGUCAAAUCAAAACAUGACAUGGUAAAACCAGAGAACACCAUGCCAAGAAGGCAGUGGCUGUUCUUCCUGUCUUUAAUCUGAUAUGACAAUGCCUUUUUCCCCUGGGGCAACGGUUUCAGAUUUGAUGUCUUAAAACAACAGAAAUUUAAUCUCCUGCAAAUGUAGAGGCUAGAGUCCAAAUCAGUAUCAGUAGACUCAAGCUAAGGUGUCAGUAGGACCACACUUCCUCUGAGGUCUCUAGGGGAGACUGUUUCCUUCUUCCAGCUUCUGGUGACUGCCAACAUUCCUUGGCUUGUCACUAUGCCACUCAACUCUUCAAGGCCAACAUCAUCACACUCUCUUCAUCUUUACAUCACUUUCUCCUCUGUAGGUAGUGAAAUUUCCCUCUGUUCUUUCAUAAUCUAUACAGUUGCACUGAGGAUACCCAGCUAAACCACAGUUAAUCUCUUCAUUGCUGAGUCAUAGCAACAGAAGUUCUGCAAGAGGUGUUUGUACUGUAAAUCGGGCCAAGAACCCCUGGCUGGGGAGAUAAUAGGACCCAGGGGAUUACUGCAGCUCUCAGAACUCAUCAGAGAAGAUUCUUUGUGCAGUGGACAACACCUAAGGCAGACUCAACUAAAGUACAAUAAGUGUCACUGGAACUCUCAACCGGAAAUGGGACAUCUACAUCACGCCCCCUCCCCUUGAGGCUCACAGACCUUCGUAGAAGAGGGCAUGGAAAGACUGUAAGAGAUAGAGUUUGAGGGCUGGAGAGAUGGCUCAGCGGUUAAGAGCACUGACUGCUCUUCCAGAGGUCCUGAAUUCAAUUGCCAGCAACCACAACCACAUGGUGGUUCACAACCAUCUGU
rnacentral:lncRNA from 1 species